GAUGAAGAACGUAGCGAAAUGCGAUAGGUAAUGUGAAUUGCAGAAUUCAGUGAAUCAUCGAAUCUUUGAACGCACCUUGCGCCCCUUGGUUAUUCCAAAGGGCAUGCCUGUUUGAGUAUCAUGAACACCACAACUCUUGUGGUUUCCCACAAUGAGCUUGGACUGUGGAGGUUUUGUUGGCCCUGUGGUCAGCUCCUCUCAAAUGGAUCAGCUUACCGGUGUUUGGUGGCAUUACGGGUGUGAUAACUAUCUACGCUCGUGGUCGUCUCCAAAUAACCUCCAGUGAUGGAGGUUCGCUGGAGCUUAUAAAUGUCUCUCCCCAGUGAAGACAGCCUUUGAACGUUCGAUCUCAAAUCAGGUAGGACUACCCGCUGAACUUAAGCAUAUCAAUAAGCGGAGGA
rnacentral:misc_RNA from 1 species